UGUCUGGCUAAAGGUAUGAUUGGAUGACUA
rnacentral:piRNA from 1 species